rnacentral:rRNA from 1 species
GACGAACGCUUGCGGCGUGCUUAACACAUGCAAGUCGAACGGAAAGGCCCUGCUUUUGUGGGGUGCUCGAGUGGCGAGCGGGUGAGUAACACGUGAGUAACCUGCCCUUGACUUUGGGAUAACUUCAGGAAACUGGGGCUAAUACCGGAUAGGAGCUCCUGCUGCAUGGUGGGGGUUGGAAAGUUUCGGCGGUUGGGGAUGGACUCGCGGCUUAUCAGCUUGUUGGUGGGGUAGUGGCUUACCAAGGCUUUGACGGGUAGCCGGCCUGAGAGGGUGACCGGCCACAUUGGGACUGAGAUACGGCCCAGACUCCUACGGGAGGCAGCAGUGGGGAAUAUUGCACAAUGGGCGGAAGCCUGAUGCAGCAACGCCGCGUGCGGGAUGACGGCCUUCGGGUUGUAAACCGCUUUCGCCUGUGACGAAGCGUGAGUGACGGUAAUGGGUAAAGAAGCACCGGCUAACUACGUGCCAGCAGCCGCGGUGAUACGUAGGGUGCGAGCGUUGUCCGGAUUUAUUGGGCGUAAAGGGCUCGUAGGUGGUUGAUCGCGUCGGAAGUGUAAUCUUGGGGCUUAACCCUGAGCGUGCUUUCGAUACGGGUUGACUUGAGGAAGGUAGGGGAGAAUGGAAUUCCUGGUGGAGCGGUGGAAUGCGCAGAUAUCAGGAGGAACACCAGUGGCGAAGGCGGUUCUCUGGGCCUUUCCUGACGCUGAGGAGCGAAAGCGUGGGGAGCGAACAGGCUUAGAUACCCUGGUAGUCCACGCUGUAAACGGUGGGUACUAGGUGUGGGGUCCAUUCCACGGGUUCCGUGCCGUAGCUAACGCUUUAAGUACCCCGCCUGGGGAGUACGGCCGCAAGGCUAAAACUCAAAGGAAUUGACGGGGCCCCGCACAAGCGGCGGAGCAUGCGGAUUAAUUCGAUGCAACGCGUAGAACCUUACCUGGGUUUGACAUGGAUCGGGAGUGCUCAGAGAUGGGUGUGCCUCUUUUGGGGUCGGUUCACAGGUGGUGCAUGGCUGUCGUCAGCUCGUGUCGUGAGAUGUUGGGUUAAGUCCCGCAACGAGCGCAACCCUUGUUCACUGUUGCCAGCACGUUAUGGUGGGGACUCAGUGGAGACCGCCGGGGUCAACUCGGAGGAAGGUGGGGAUGACGUCAAGUCAUCAUGCCCCUUAUGUCCAGGGUUUCACGCAUGCUACAAUGGCUGGUACAGAGAGUGGCGAGCCUGCGAGGGUGAGCGAAUCUCGGAAAGCCGGUCUCAGUUCGGAUUGGGGUCUGCAACUCGACCUCAUGAAGUCGGAGUCGCUAGUAAUCGCAGAUCAGCAACGCUGCGGUGAAUACGUUCCCGGGGCU